GUGGGGAAUAUUGGACAAUGGGCGAAAGCCUGAUCCAGCCAUGCCGCGUGUGUGAAGAAGGUCUUCGGAUUGUAAAGCACUUUAAGUUGGGAGGAAGGGCAGUAAGUUAAUACCUUGCUGUUUUGACGUUACCGACAGAAUAAGCACCGGCUAACUUCGUGCCAGCAGCCGCGGUAAUACGAAGGGUGCAAGCGUUAAUCGGAAUUACUGGGCGUAAAGCGCGCGUAGGUGGUUUUGUAAGUUGGAGGUGAAAUCCCCGGGCUCAACCUGGGAACUGCCUCCAAAACUGCAUGACUAGAGUACGGUAGAGGGUAGUGGAAUUUCCUGUGUAGCGGUGAAAUGCGUAGAUAUAGGAAGGAACACCAGUGGCGAAGGCGACUACCUGGACUGAUACUGACACUGAGGUGCGAAAGCGUGGGGAGCAAACAGGAUUAGAUACCCCUGUAGUCC
rnacentral:rRNA from 1 species